UACGGAGGGUGCAAGCGUUGUUCGGAAUCACUGGGCGUAAAGGGCGUGUAGGCGGUCCGCUAAGUCUGAUGUGAAAGCCCGGGGCUCACCCCCGGAAGUGCAUUGGAAACUGACGGACUCGAGUCCCGGAGAGGAGGGUGGAAUUCCUGGUGUAGCGGUGAAAUGCGCAGAUAUCAGGAGGAACACCGGUGGCGAAGGCGGCUUGCUGGGCCUUACCUGACGCUGAGGAGCGAAAGCGUGGGGAGCGAACAGG
rnacentral:rRNA from 1 species